rnacentral:rRNA from 1 species
AGCGGCGGACGGGUGAGUAAUGCCUAGGAAUCUGCCUGGUAGUGGGGGAUAACGUUCGGAAACGGACGCUAAUACCGCAUACGUCCUACGGGAGAAAGCAGGGGACCUUCGGGCCUUGCGCUAUCAGAUGAGCCUAGGUCGGAUUAGCUAGUUGGUGAGGUAAUGGCUCACCAAGGCGACGAUCCGUAACUGGUCUGAGAGGAUGAUCAGUCACACUGGAACUGAGACACGGUCCAGACUCCUACGGGAGGCAGCAGUGGGGAAUAUUGGACAAUGGGCGAAAGCCUGAUCCAGCCAUGCCGCGUGUGUGAAGAAGGUCUUCGGAUUGUAAAGCACUUUAAGUUGGGAGGAAGGGCAUUUACCUAAUACGU